CUGAAAGCACUAGUUCUUGUCCGAUCACCAAAGUUAAGCAUCAUCGAGUACAGCCAGUACUUGAGAGAGUGACCAUCUGGGAACACCACGA